UACAGAGGUCUCAAGCGUUGUUCGGAUUCAUUGGGCGUAAAGGGCGCGUAGGCGGCGGGGUCAGUCGGGUGUGAAAUCUUGGGGCUUAACCCCGAAGCGGCACUCGAAACUGCCCGGCUGGAGGGCCGGAGAGGAGAUCGGAAUUCACGGUGUAGCAGUGAAAUGCGUAGAGAUCGUGAGGAAGACCCGUGGCGAAGGCGGAUCUCUGGACGGCUAACUGACGCUGAGGCGCGAAGGCCAGGGGAGCAAACGGG
rnacentral:rRNA from 1 species